rnacentral:rRNA from 1 species
ACUACGGGGGGCAGCAGUGGGGAAUAUUGGGCAAUGGGCGCAAGCCUGACUCAGCAACGCCGCGUGAAGGAAGAAGGCUUUCGGGUUGUAAACUUCUUUUAUCAGGGACGAAGCAAGUGACGGUACCUGAUGAAUAAGCCACGGCUAACUACGUGCCAGCCGCCGCGGUAAUACGGAGGUGGCAAGCGUUAUCCGGAUUUACUGGGUGUAAAGGGCGUGGAGGCGGGAGUGCAAGUCAGCUGUGAAAACUACGGGCUUAACUUGUAGACUGCAGUUGAAACUGGUUUUCUUGAGUGAAGUAGAGGUUGGCGGAAUUCCGAGUGUAGCGGUGAAAUGCGUAGAUAUUCGGAGGAACACCGGUGGCGAAGGCGGCCAACUGGGCUUUAACUGACGCUGAGGCUCGAAAGUGUGGGGAGCAAACAGGAUUAGAUACCCUUGUAGUC